UACGGAGGGUGCAAGCGUUAUCCGGAUUCACUGGGUUUAAAGUGUGCGUAGGCGGACAGGUAAGUCAGUGGUGAAAUCUCUGGGCUUAACCCAGAAACUGCCGUUGAUACUAUUUGUCUUGAAUAUCCUGGAGGUAGGCGGAAUAUGUCAUGUAGCGGUGAAAUGCUUAGAUAUGACAUAGAACACCGAUAGCGAAGGCAGCUUACUACAGGAUGAUUGACGCUGAGGCACGAAAGCGUGGGGAGCAAACAGG
rnacentral:rRNA from 1 species